UACGUAGGGUGCGAGCGUUAAUCGGAAUUACUGGGCGUAAAGCGUGCGCAGGCGGUGAUGUAAGACAGAUGUGAAAUCCCCGGGCUCAACCUGGGACCUGCAUUUGUGACUGCAUCGCUGGAGUGCGGCAGGGGGGGAUGGAAUUCCGCGUGUAGCAGUGAAAUGCGUAGAUAUGCGGAGGAACACCGAUGGCGAAGGCAAUCCCCUGGGCCUGCACUGACGCUCAUGCACGAAAGCGUGGGGAGCAAACAGG
rnacentral:rRNA from 1 species